CACCAAAGCUGGAACAUAAAUGGGAACUGUAAAUAGUGAGGUUUACAUCAGCUGUAUGCUGCUUUAAAGCAUAGAAAAGUAAUCUGGAUACACACAAAGAUGUUCUUAAUUGGAAAAUCUGAUGAACUGGAUAAUUACAGAAAUCGAAAAGAUGUUUAUUUUUUGUUGAGAUAUGUGGUACGGUAAAAAUGAAAACAUUUACCUCUGAAAUGUAGUAAAGUAAUAAGUGCAAUAUAAAGAUGUAGUGGGGCAGAGAAGUAUGAAGCGUCAUUAAAUAAAAGCACUCAAUUACUCAACCCUGCUAGCAAUGAUCCUGUCGCACCGAUUGUGCAUCAAAUAGAAACCAAGAAUGGUCAAGUGUCGGAUUUAAACCUCGCGAUAUGAGCAACAAUAAGUCUCUGUAAUAAAGUGAAGACGGCGCAUCUUGUUUUGGUGUUUAAUAUGGACUUAUCAGUGAUAAGAGACGUGAUAAGUCGUUUUAUGGGUGAUCAAACAUCACUGCCGUCCCGCUCUUUUAAACCGCUGUUUAUAACAGCAGACGUGGACUUACAGCGUCAGUCUCUAUCACGUUGUGUCCUCGCUUUGUGAAUAUCCUGGAGGAAGGUAGAUUAUAAAAAGAAGUUGAUGCAUUUCCAUGGUGAGAUGGGAGAGUAGGAGCAGACACUUCACCUUGAUCUUCAUCUUCAGGGAGAUUUUGUCUAAUAAAACUGGAAACAAGUUGUGGGUUAAGUCUGUUACACCCUGGUCUCCAUCAUCCAUAUUUUUAAUACAAGAAGUCUUUUCAAUAGUGGCCUUGUCCAUUGAUGUACUGCCUUCGGUCUCUGAAUCAGCCAUUUUUGGUGGGUGUGCGGAGUGUGGCUCAGCCUCCGGCUCGAACGACCAUUUGUACUGGAUCUAGGGGUCGACUGGAGCCACAAACCGACUUGAAACGGGGUUUCAUGCACUUCGAUCUUUAUUCAGCCAUGCCAUUUAUUUUAGUUGUUCACGUAAUAUUUCCAUGGUCUAUACAAAAAGGAAAGAAAGGAGAUUACAAAAUUUGGGAUGACAAACAGAUCAAUUUAUAUACAAACUAAGUUACAUCAUAAUAUGGAUAAACGAAAUAAAGCUCUACUUACAUUGGCAUCAGUCCAACAGACACAUGGAAACACUCAUGUCAGGAAACAAACAGGAACUUGGCCUCAACAGGGCCUCUAGUUAUAGUGUGGGAGGUAGCUCACCACUUUGUGCCUCCUGUGGAAAGGAGAGCAAUUGCAUGCAGUUUCUAACAGUAGUAAAGUAAAAAGUGCAAUAUAAAGAUGUAGUGGAGCAGAAGUAUGAAGCGUCGUUAAAUAAAAGUACUCAAUUAUUCAACCCUGCUAGCAAUGAUCCUGUCUGACAGAUUGUUCAUCAAAUAGAAACUAAGAAUGGUCAAGUGUCUGAUUUAAACCGCGCGAUAUGAGCAGCAAUACGUCUUUGAAGUGAAGACGGCGCAUAUUGUUUUGUUAUUUAAUAUGGACUUAUCAGUGAUAAGAGACGUGAUAAGUCGUUUUAUGGGUUUGGGUGAUCGCGGUCAAACAUCACUGCCGCUACGCUCCUUUAAACCGCUGUUUAUAACAGCAGACGUGGACUUACAGCCUCAGUCUCUAUCACGUUGUGUCCUCGCUUUGUUCCUCAAGAAGAAUUCGGACACUGAAGAAGAAGAACCGCGUCUCUUUAUGUCUUUACAUGACUGAGGACGUUUAAGGGAGGAGAUGAUCUGCAGCAUCCUGGUGAUCUUCAUCCUGACCUCCUGUGUCUGUGGUCAGUUCACUUUUGGGUUUGUAAAGCAGCUGUGAAGCAUCAGCACACACUCCUCAGAAACAUCUGGAGAUGGAGUCUAGUUUGUCUGGACCCGGUGAACCCCGUCUCCGGAUAGCCCUAUUGUGCAGACGAACGCACUGUAUCCGCACACUGUAUCCGCACAAGUGAGUAAACUUGAAAUCCGAUUGCUUUUGGUGUUCGUCUGCACGCUAUCCGCAUACCUAAUUGGAUUGCAUCACGUGAUUGCAUGCAACCUCACGCUGAACCCUUGUUAACCCCAAUGCGUCACUUCAUAACAACGACAACAAUGGCGAACGCAAGGAUAAUGUGCCUGCUGAAUGUGCUAACAAGUCUACAAUGCGUACUACGGGAAUAUCUAUAAUAUUUGUAUACGGCGCGCAUGUCUUAUACGCAUGCUCCUGUCUUCUCCUUCCGUUUUCUUCAGUUGUCUGUAGCACCUUAAAGCGCCACCAACAGGCGUGGGGGAUGUACUACAGCGGAGUCAAUCGGAUUCACUGGGUUCAUGUGCACGCGAUUUAAAAACAGGGACAUUUGUAGUGAAUGUGACACAGAGCUGGUAUCAGGCAGAGGAGAACCACAACAUCUCACUAGAAUGGAUGUUCCCCACCAGCACGGACCACUUCACCAACUCCCUUUAUAUCUCCUGUGAGAUGUUAACUGAUGACAAACCCUCAGUCCUGUUUCAUCUAUAUGAAGGUGUCGAGGUCCCAGAGUUUCAGGAUGAACGCUUUGAUAGCCUGACUUCCAUCAUCAGGUUAAUUUAUUUUGGCUAAUGGAACAUUUGAUGGACUUAGUUGAACCAUGUAUGAGGAACGGGGCGCAGAUUUCUAAUCAGCAACAGAUGAAACAUCAUCCACACCUUAUUCAUCUUUAAAUGUUUACACAAGAAGAGUCUGAGGUUCUGACAUCAAGGUCCGACUGCUGCUAAUUAGACCAAGUAUUGUUGUCCUCAAUAUACAUGUUGUCUAAAUGUUUAUUCUAUUCUUUGCACUUUGUUGCACUGGAGACAAACGUUUUUUUGACUGCUCUGUAUGUUUGGUACAUUGGAAUUUAUAUUAAAGCAAACUAUGAACUUUUGAA
ensembl:lncRNA